UACGUAGGGACCGAGCGUUGUCCGGAAUCAUUGGGCGUAAAGAGCGUGUAGGCGGCCUUUUAAGUCCUGCGUGAAAUCCUGCGGCUCAACCGCAGACGGUCGUGGGAAACUGGAAGGCUAGAGUGCGGGAGAGGAGAGUGGAAUUCCCGGUGUAGCGGUGAAAUGCGUAGAGAUCCGGAAGAACACCGGUGGCGAAGGCGGCCUGCUGGGCAGUAGCUGACGCUGAUGCGCGACAGCGUGGGGAGCAAACAGG
rnacentral:rRNA from 1 species